AGUCGGUUGUCGCUGGCCCUCUCUGCUGGGCAUGUGCACACCUUCUCUUUCAUCCACACACACCUGUGCACUCGUGAAGACGGAAGGAGCGCCCUUGGGCGGCGUCCGUCUGCUCCACAUAAAACCACAUGUAUAUAUAUAUUGAAUGUAAUUGAUGUAACACAUCUUUAAACUAAGUUUCAACAACGGAUCUCUUGGCUCUCGCAUCGAUGAAGAACGCAGCGAAAUGCGAUAAGUAAUGUGAAUUGCAGAAUUCAGUGAAUCAUCGAAUCUUUGAACGCACCUUGCGCUCCUUGGUAUUCCUUGGAGCAUGCCUGUUUGAGUAUCAUGAAAUCUUCAAGAUAGACCUUUCGUUCAUUCGAUUGAUUUUGUUUUGGACUUGGAGGUCUUGCAGAUUCUCACGUCUGCUCCUCUCAAAUGCAUUAGCUGGAUCUCCGUGAGCUCGGUUCCACUCGGCGUGAUAAGUAAUCACUCGCUGAGGACACCGUAAAAAGUGGCCGGGUCCACAGAUGAACUGCUUCCAACUGUCCAUUGGCUUGGACGAUUGAACCUUUGUGAUCUGAUCUCAAAUCAGGUAGGAAUACCCGCUGAACUUAAGCAUAUCAAUAA
rnacentral:rRNA from 1 species